AUGGAAGAAGCAGCAGCCGGCGCCGGCGCCGGCGCCGCGCUGGAGGUGGUGGUGUUCCCAUGGCUGGCGUUCGGGCACAUGCUCUCGUUCCUCGAGCUGUCCAAGCGCCUGGCGGCUCGUGGCCACGCCGUCGCCUUCCUCUCCACGCCACGGAACCUUGCCAGGCUCCCGCCGGUGCCGCCGCACCUCUCGCCUCGCCUCCGCUUCGUGUCGCUGCCGCUGCCGCGCGUCGACGGGCUGCCGGAAGGCGCCGAGUCCACGGCCGACGUGCCGCCCGACAAGAUCGAGCUCCUCAAGAAGGCCAUGGACGGGCUCGCGGCCCCGCUCACCGCGUUCCUGGCCGACGCCGUCGCUGCUGGCAGGAGGCCCGACUGGAUCGUCCAUGACUUCUGCCACCACUGGGUCCCGCCCAUCGCCGGCGGGCACGGUGUGCCGUGCGCCGUGUUCAUCAUCGUCUACGCCACCUUCAUGGCCUUCGUGGGGCCGCGGUCGGCGAACGCCAAGCACCCGCGCGCGGCGACAGAGGACUUCGCCGUCGCGCCCAGGUGGAUCCCGUUCCCGUCCACGAUCGCGUACCGACGCCGCAGCGAGGCCGAGUGGAUCGCCGCCGCCUUCCGCGCCAACGCGUCCGGCGUGUCCGACAUGGACCGCGUGUGGCGGCUCUUCGAGCGCUGCCGCCUGGCCAUCUACCGGAGCUGCGACGAGGUCGAGCCCGGGAUGUUCGCCCUCCUAGCCGACCUCUUCCAGCAGCCCGUCAUCCCCGCCGGGAUCCUGCUUCCUGCCGUGAUCGCUGAUGGCGACGGAGAGCGUCCUGAAACCCUGCGCUGGCUCGACGACCAGCCCGCCAAGUCAGUCAUCUACGUCGCGCUGGGGAGCGAGGCGCCGCUGACUCCAGGGAUCCUGCACGAGCUCGCGCUCGGGCUGGAGCUCGCCGGGGUGCGCUUCCUGUGGGCUCUACGCAGGCCGUCCGGGAUGUUCAGCGCCGCCAUCGACGCCGUCACGGACGACGAUCUCCUGCCCGCCGGGUUCGAGGAGCGGACGCGGGGGAGAGGGCUGGUGCGCACCGGGUGGGUGCCACAGGUGGGGUGA
rnacentral:rRNA from 1 species